ensembl:snRNA U6 U6 spliceosomal RNA
GUGUUCACUUUGGCAGCACAUAUACUAAAAUUGGACAAUACAGAGAUUAGCAUAGCUCCUGCACGAGGAUGACAUACAAACUUAUGAGACAUUCUGUAUUUUU